CAUUUAGUAAUUUAGACUUUGAAGCCAUUGGAAGAAUCUUAAUUAAACCUUUUUUAGGCAUGAAAAAAUAGCUAUUACAGUGCUUGCAAAACCUAUCUUUCGCUUGGCUCAUGCGUUAUUAGGAUGAUGCUUAAAUUAUUAUUUUUUAAUGUAACUGUGUCUCCUUUAUUAAGAAAUGUUGACUAGACAAGUGAUCUGUCCAAAUUUAAAACUAGAAAUAGAACCUUUAUCUCCCACCCUGUCUGAAUUAUUCUUUCCAUAUGUAGCUGCUUAGUUGUGUCUUUACCACUAAUUAACCAUGUGAACUCUAAGCAAGUUAUUUUACUUUUCUUCAUCUUUUUAUCUUUUGUAAAAUUAGGGGGUUAUUAUGAAUCAUUUCUAACAUCUCUGCUAAUGCCCCAGAUACUGUAAAUGACCCAGAAUGUAAUUGCGGGCAGUGUUAACUUAGCUUCCUAGAAGAUGGGGGAUAUGACUGGGCCUUGAAUAAAAUCCAAGAUUUGGCAGAGUAGAGAGGGAAAGAAUUCAUGAGAUGGGGAGCAGUAGAACAAAGGCUUAGGUGUGAAUAUGUGGCUGUAGUAAAGAGAAAUGGCCUGAUUAUAGCAAUUAUAUGAGGUUUAGUAGAACCAUUUAAGAAAGGUAAAGCCACUUCAUAGAAAUUAUUUUAUCCCUGAAAUUAAUUUUUUUUAAUGGUUAGAACCAAAGAGAACAGUACAUGAUAUAUGGAAGUUUCUUUAGAUCCUAAGUACUUUGGCAUGAAAUUCUGUGUGUGUUUGUGUUAGAACAUAGUUCAACACAAGUACAAUUGCUAGAAGUAUCAGAACAACCUUAUUUUAACACUUAUAUUUCUGGUGGUAGAGAAAUAAUAAGAUUUCAUCUUCAUGCUCAUCUCCCCUCCUCCCUAAGAUUUUUUCAAAAUCUUAUUCUGAAUGUGUACCGGGCCAAAAAAUAUUUUCUGUGGUUUCGUAGGAUCAAGUCUGGCUUAUUGAGUAGUAGUAUAAUUUUUGGAUUAGUUAAGCGGUUGUCAGUAGGGGUAGGAUUAUUUCUGGGUAUUCAGGAGUGGUGUGAGGAUACAAAAAAGAGAUUAUUUAGAAAUGAAAGGACUUUAGGAAUGGGAUUUAAAACAAGGUGUCCUCAUACUUGGUGCCUGUAUGUAGAAGCGGUAGCAGUUGCAGAAACUUCCUGCUGUCUGCUAGGCUUUGGGUGUGUCACACACAUGCCCACCCUUGAGGAAGAGUAGAUGUCCUGCUACUCACAUCAUAACAUGGGAGGAGAAGACAGUUGCUACGGCGAUUGGGAAACAGCAUUCCUGAGUCACUGACUAUUUCUAAAUGAAUGGACAACACCCCUUUUUUUAAAGGAGUGAUCAUAGUCUUCUCUAAGCUUAGGCAGCAGAGGGAGAGGCCUAGUAAGAAAG
rnacentral:lncRNA from 1 species